rfam:Triticum aestivum genome assembly, contig: Triticum_aestivum_CS42_TGACv1_scaffold_499705_6BL
UUUGUACUUCCUCCGUCCCAAAAUUCUUGUCUUAAAUUUGUCGAAAUACGGAUGUAUCUAGUUACAUUUUAGUGUUAGAUACAUCCGUAUCUAAACAAAUGUAAGAUAAGAAUUGUGGGACGGAGGGAAUACUAC